rnacentral:tRNA from 1 species
GGAGGUGACAGGCAACUGGUGUUGCUCCUGGUCUUCAAAACCAGUGUGGCGGCGGUUAGACCGUCCCGGGUAGGUUCGAUUCCUAUACACCUCCGCCA